UAGGGAAUAUUGGGCAAUGGGUGAGAGCCUGACCCAGCCAUGCCGCGUGCAGGAAGAAGGCGUUCUGCGUUGUAAACUGCUUUUGAUCGGGAAGAAAGGGUCUUUGCGAAGACCGUUGACGGUACCGAUAGAAUAAGCACCGGCUAACUCCGUGCCAGCAGCCGCGGUAAUACGGAGGGUGCAAGCGUUGUCCGGAUUUAUUGGGUUUAAAGGGUGCGUAGGCGGAUUGGUAAGUCAGUGGUGAAAGGCAGCGGCUCAACCGUUGAGUUGCCAUUGAUACUGUCAGUCUUGAGUGCACUAAAGGUAAGUGGAAUUUAUGGUGUAGCGGUGAAAUGCAUAGAUACCAUAAAGAACACCAAUAGCGAAGGCAGCUUACUGGAGUGUAACUGACGCUGAGGCACGAAAGCGUGGGGAGCGAACAGGAUUAGAUACCCCCGUAGUCC
rnacentral:rRNA from 1 species